rnacentral:rRNA from 1 species
UGAGGAAUAUUGGUCAAUGGGCGAGAGCCUGAACCAGCCAAGUAGCGUGCAGGAUGACGGCCCUAUGGGUUGUAAACUGCUUUUAUGUGGGGAUAAAGUGCGUGACGUGUCAUGCAUUGCAGGUACCACAUGAAUAAGGACCGGCUAAUUCCGUGCCAGCAGCCGCGGUAAUACGGAAGGUCCGGGCGUUAUCCGGAUUUAUUGGGUUUAAAGGGAGCGUAGGCUGUAUAUUAAGCGUGUUGUGAAAUUUACCGGCUCAACCGGUGGCUUGCAGCGCGAACUGGUCGACUUGAGUAUGCAGGAAGUAGGCGGAAUUCAUGGUGUAGCGGUGAAAUGCUUAGAUAUCAUGACGAACUCCGAUUGCGCAGGCAGCUUACUGUAGCAUAACUGACGCUGAUGCUCGAAAGUGCGGGUAUCAAACAGG